AACAGGGUGGCGCAGUGGAAGCGUGCUGGGCUCAUAACCCAGAGGUCAAUGGAUCGAAAACUUUUCCUGCUA